UGACCGGCCACAUUGGGACUGAGACACGGCCCAAACUCCUACGGGAGGCAGCAGUAGGGAAUUUUCGGCAAUGGGCGAAAGCCUGACCGAGCAACGCCGCGUGAGUGAAGAAGGCCUUCGGGUUGUAAAGCUCUGUUGUGAAGGAAGAACGGCUCAUACAGGGAAUGGUAUGGGAGUGACGGUACUUUACCAGAAAGCCACGGCUAACUACGUGCCAGCAGCCGCGGUAAUACGUAGGUGGCGAGCGUUAUCCGGAAUUAUUGGGCGUAAAGGGUGCGCAGGCGGUUUGUUAAGUUUAAGGUGAAAGCGUGGGGCUUAACCCCAUAUAGCCUUAGAAACUGACAGACUAGAGUACAGGAGAGGGCAAUGGAAUUCCAUGUGUAGCGGUAAAAUGCGUAGAUAUAUGGAGGAACACCAGUGGCGAAGGCGGUCGCCUGGUCUGUAACUGACACUGAGGCACGAAAGCGUGGGGAGCAAAUAGGAUUAGAUACCCUAGUAGUCCACGCCGUAAACGAUGAGAACUAAGUGUUGGAGGAAUUCAGUGCUGCAGUUAACGCAAUAAGUUCUCCGCCUGGGGAGUAUGCACGCAAGUGUGAAACUCAAAGGAAUUGACGGGGGCCCGCACAAGCGGUGGAGUAUGUGGUUUAAUUCGACGCAACGCGAAGAACCUUACCAGGUCUUGACAUCCCCUGCAAAGCUAUGGAGACAUAGUGGAGGUUAACAGGGAGACAGGUGGUGCAUGGUUGUCGUCAGCUCGUGUCGUGAGAUGUUGGGUUAAGUCCCGCAACGAGCGCAACCCUUGUCUUUAGUUACUAACAUUCAGUUGAGGACUCUAGAGAGACUGCCGGUGACAAACCGGAGGAAGGUGGGGAUGACGUCAAAUCAUCAUGCCCCUUAUGACCUGGGCUACACACGUACUACAAUGGCGGAUACAACGAGAAGCAAGACAGUGAUGUGGAGCAAAACUCAGAAAGUCCGUCUCAGUUCGGAUUGAAGUCUGCAACCCGACUUCAUGAAGCCGGAAUCGCUAGUAAUCGCGGAUCAGCAUGCCGCGGUGAAUACGUUCUCGGGCCUUGUACACACCGCCCGUCAAACCAUGAGAGUUGGCAAUACCCGAAGCCGGUGGCCUAACCUCGCAAGAGGAGGGAGCCGUCGAAGGUAGGGCUGAUGAUUGGGGUUAAGUCGUAACAAGGUAUCCCUACGGGAACGUGGGGAUG
rnacentral:rRNA from 1 species